CUAGCUUAGACUCGUCUAGCUUAGACUCGUGUACGAAUACUUACAGAAAUAUAUUUCGUUCGUAUAAAGCUAGCUUAGACUCGUGUACGUUAUACUCGUGUACGAAUACUUACAGAAAUAUAUUUCGUUCGUAUAAAGCUAGCUUAGACUCGUGUACGUUAUACUCGUGUACGAAUACUUACAGAAAUAUAUUUCGUUCGUAUAAAGCUAGCUUAGACUCGUGUACGUUAUACUCGUGUACGAAUACUUACAGAAAUAUAUUUCGUUCGUAUAAAGCUAGCUUAGACUCGUGUACGUUAUACUCGUGUACGAAUACUUACAGAAAUAUAUUUCGUUCGUAUAAAGUUAGCUUAGACUCGUGUACGUUAUACUCGUGUACGAAUACUUACAGAAAUAUAUUUCGUUCGUAUAAAGUUAGCUUAGACUCGUGUACGUUAUACUCGUGUACGAAUACUUACAGAAAUAUAUUUCGUUCGUAUAAAGUUAGCUUAGACUCGUGUACGUUAUACUCGUGUACGAAUACUUACAGAAAUAUAUUUCGUUCGUAUAAAGCUAGCUUAGACUCGUGUACGUCAUACUCGUGUACGAAUACUUACAGAAAUAUAUUUUGUUCGUAUUAAGUCACAUUUUUAAACACUGUCAAGACUCAGUACACACAUAGGGCACUUAACAAAAGCCGACUACGAGUACAUGAAUGAAAUAAGAACUUAGAACAAUAAAGAUAGGUAGAAAUUGCUUGCCAAUUAAAUAUAACGGUAUUUUUAUGUAUUUUGUGUCAAAAAGGUUUACAGGCCGAUUUUUACACGACUGCCCAAACAAAAAGAGUGUAUUGUUUUCAGCGUUCAUGUUUGUAUGUAUAUAUGUAUUUAUUGUCAUUUUUGUCUCGUUCAUCGAUACCAACGAGAAAAACGGACAGAAUUAAACAAUCGGCAGUAAGUGUAUUGAGGUUGUUCCGCCUAGCUUUGUGCUUGAGCUUGUCGACAAUACACUCGCAAUCAGAUACCUAUAUCAGAGCGGCUUCGGUGCCCAAAAAUAUCUGAACACGCACCCCACGGAAGAAAGAAUGAGCGCGCCGCGCUCUGACGAGAAACGGCAUGUGCCUGGAUUAGUAUGAGAACCUAUGUCGCCAAAACGCUGUCACAAAAAUUGGCCAUAUUUUCUUAUUUCGAAAGGGAUUAUGAGCCCUUGCCCAUCACAGUAAAAAAAACUUUACAGUCAAGAAAAUUAUGUCGAAAUUGCACUACGAUUUUUAUUUUUGUAACAAUACACAAAUCAUUGACAAAUUGUCAUUUAUGCUCUAGCCCUUUUACACUUGCAUGGCUUUUCCAAGAGUGAAUGCGAUAGGAUAAAAUUAAAAAUAUUCGACUAUGAGGUUGACACAUGCGAUAGGGAUGUGCAUGAUUCGGUGUGAUAUCGAUAAAUGCUUAUUAAUGAUCAAUGUACACGUAAACUGUUCAGUUUUUUUUAUACAUAUGUAUUACUAUAUUUUCUGGUGACAAUUAGGUACCUACUUACUUUUUAAUAAAAAAAUCUCGUAUUGAAAGUAAUCACGCCACCAACCACGCAUAUAACUGUACGUAGUCUAGCCAUAAAUUCUGUCCCAACUUUUUCAUCAUUUUAAACUUAAUAAUGGAAUGUUUGAUGUAUUUUUCUUUCUUGGUUAUGCUUAAAUACACCUUUGGCUAUCAGAAAAAGUACAUUUAGAUCCAGGUAUCGUUUCCCUGCAGAUGAGAUGAGUGGGGCAUCAAAGAGAAUCGUGUCGUAGUGAUAGUGUUAUACAAGUGCAACAAGGAAGUGAAUGACAUUUUCAAACUGCUGAAACUUUUUAAUAUAACGCAGAAAUGUAUCUAACGUACUAUCAAGCGAUACAACGACAUGGGUUUAGUCGACGACCAGCCCAGGAGCGGUCGCCAACUUCAAACAAGGACACCGGCAGUGAUUAAAGUGGUAGCUGAGCGAAUUCGGAGAAAUCCGCUACGCAAGCAGAAAAUCAUGGCUAGGGAAAUGAAAAUACCCCCAAGAACUAUGUCCCGUAUCAUAAAACAAGACCUUAGUCUUGGGGCUUAUUGUCGGAGCACAGGACAGCGAUUGACAGCGGCCCUACGGAAAACAAGAGCGACGAGAGCUAAAGUGUUGUGGUAACAGCACGCACAGGGCGGAUAUCGUAAUAUUCUGUUCACAGAUGAAAAAAUCUUUAACGUGGAGCAAAAAUUCAGCCGCUAAAACGAUAAAAUAUAUGCUCACAGUUCCCAAGAAGCUUCUGAAAAACGGCUUUAAUACCCAUCGAUACCGUCCGUGCCAUCAUAGACGAGUUGCCGGACCGUUUAAAGAAGUGUUUUAAAGUAAAAGGUGGACAUUUUGAAUAAAUAUUUUAUUGAUGAUUGAUGAAUGAU